UUCUUGAAUUUUUGUUCGUUCACACCAAUAUGUCCAAUAAAUGAAGAAUGGAACAUUUGUGGGCAAUUAUGUGAACCAACCUGUGAUCCAAAUCCAAUAACUUGCCCGCCAAUAGCAUGCACUAACGGAACUACCGCCGGUUGUCGGUGUAGCAGUGGUUAUCUCAGAAAUCCAGACAAUGAUUGUGUACAACCAGAAAAUUGUUAAUUUAUGAUUAAUAGAUCAAAACAAUGAUUGUGUACAACGAAAAGAUUGUUAAUUUAUGAUUAAUAGAUUUAUAUCAAUAAAGAAUUUCCGGAGCAUAUUUAAAUAGAGUUAUUUUAAUGUAUUUUCUACCAAAUCACAACGAAGUGAAUUUUUCGUACAAUCCAAAGAAAUUUUUUCAUUAUACUUGAUAGAACAUCAAAACUGAACGAAACAGUUACACAGUUAAAUUG